UUCAUUCGAAUUCGCGAUUCAUGAAUAUACACCUGCAUUUACAACUGCGGCGUAUUUUAUUUUCUACACGACUUUCCUCAACGAGGCGAUUACAAAUAUCGAGGCAUCGCUGACAUACUCGUCUGAACCUUCUAAAGUUUCUAAGUCGUAUAGUCGUAUAGAGAAAAAUCCAUCCAAAACUUCAACAUGAGCUCGGUACUCUCUUACGUCUUGCUCCUGGUAGCUCUGGUUGUCUGCCUGCUUGGAAACGCUGCCGUCGUUAAGGCUGGCGGACGCUGCAGCAGCACCCGCGAAUGCGGCUAUUGUACCUGUUUAGGUGGCAUUUGCGCCUGCCCGGAUGGAAAAUAGAUAUAGCAUAGAUGUAUCAACAAGAAUUAACAAAACUGUUUGCGCCGAUCUGAAUUUCAUACACUCACCACAUCGUUAUCCAUGAAUAAACACUUUUAACUUUA